rnacentral:rRNA from 1 species
UGACCUGCGGAGGNUCAUUAUUGAGUAAUGGAGGUGCUGAGGCUGUCGCUGACCCCUUUUAAAAAAAAUGGGUUGUGCACGCCCCGGUACUCUCACACGUCCAUCCCUCUCACCCCUUUGUGCAUCACCGCGUGGGCUGCCUUUUGGCUUGUUCCAAAAGGGUCUACGUUUUUACAUAGACACCCUUUAAAAGCAUGUGUAGAAUGUCUUACAUUUUGCGGUCACACGCAAUCAAUACAACUUUCAACAACGGAUCUCUUGGCUCUCGCAUCGAUGAAGAACGCAGCGAAAUGCGAUACGUAAUGUGAAUUGCAGAAUUCAGUGAAUCAUCGAAUCUUUGAACGCACCUUGCGCCCUUUGGUAUUCCGAGGGGCACACCCGUUUGAGUGUCAUGACGUUCUCAAAACCUUCUUGUCUUUUUGACGAAAAAGGCUUUGGACUUUGGAGGCUUUUGCUGGCCUUCCCUUGUUGAAGCCAGCUCCUCUCAAAUGAAUUAGUGGGGGUUCACUUUGCUGAUCCCNUGAUGUGAUAAGAUAUUUUCUACAUCUUGGGCUUUGCACUUGGUGCUCUGGAUUCCCUGCUUCUAAAUCAUCUUAUAGAAGAUAAUGUNCNAGUUUGNUUNGUCACUCGACCCACAAACCUUGACCUCAAAUCGGGUGAGACUA